AAGCCUGAUGCAGCGACGCCGCGUGAGGGAUGACGGCCUUCGGGUUGUAAACCUCUUUCAGCAGGGAAGAAGCGAAAGUGACGGUACCUGCAGAAGAAGCGCCGGCUAACUACGUGCCAGCAGCCGCGGUAAUACGAAGGGCGCAAGCAUUGUCCGGAAAUAUUGGGCGUAAAGAGCUCGUAGGCGGCUUGUCACGUCGAUUGUGAAAGCUCGGGGCUUAACCCCGAGUCUGCAGUCGAUACGGGCUAGCUAGAGUGUGGUAGGGGAGAUCGGAAUUCCUGGUGUAGCGGUGAAAUGCGCAGAUAUCAGGAGGAACACCGGUGGCGAAGGCGGAUCUCUGGGCCAUUACUGACGCUGAGGAGCGAAAGCGUGGGGAGCGAACAGGAUUAGAUACCCUGGUGGUCCACGCCGUAACGGUUGAUCUUGGUGUUGCGCAUUCCGCGUCUCACUGCCUCUCUCCAUUCUG
rnacentral:rRNA from 1 species